rnacentral:rRNA from 1 species
AUUGAACGCUGGCGGCAGGCCUAACACAUGCAAGUCGAACGGUAACAGGAAGCAGCUUGCUGCUUCGCUGACGAGUGGCGGACGGGUGAGUAAUGUCUGGGAAGCUGCCUGAUGGAGGGGGAUAACUACUGGGAACGGUAGCUAAUACCGCAUAAUGUCGCAAGACCAAAGAGGGGGACCUUCGGGCCUCUUGCCAUCGGAUGUGCCCAGAUGGGAUUAGCUUGUUGGUGGGGUAACGGCUCACCAAGGCGACGAUCCCUAGCUGGUCUGAGAGGAUGACCAGCCACACUGGAACUGAGACACGGUCCAGACUCCUACGGGAGGCAGCAGUGGGGAAUAUUGCACAAUGGGCGCAAGCCUGAUGCAGCCAUGCCGCGUGUAUGAAGAAGGCCUUCGGGUUGUAAAGUACUUUCAGCGGGGAGGAAGGGAGUAAAGUUAAUACCUUUGCUCAUUGACGUUACCCGCAGAAGAAGCACCGGCUAACUCCGUG